rnacentral:rRNA from 1 species
GAUGAACGCUGGCGGCGUGCUUAACACAUGCAAGUCGAACGAUGAAGCCCAGCUUGCUGGGUGGAUUAGUGGCGAACGGGUGAGUAACACGUGAGUAACCUGCCCUUAACUCUGGGAUAGGCCUGGGAAACUGGGUCUAAUACCGGAUAGGAGCGUCCACCGCAUGGUGGGUGUUGGAAAGAUUUAUCGGUUUUGGAUGGACUCGCGGCCUAUCAGCUUGUUGGUGAGGUAAUGGCUCACCAAGGCGACGACGGGUAGCCGGCCUGAGAGGGUGACCGGCCACACUGGGACUGAGACACGGCCCAGACUCCUACGGGAGGCAGCAGUGGGGAAUAUUGCACAAUGGGCGCAAGCCUGAUGCAGCGACGCCGCGUGAGGGAUGACGGCCUUCGGGUUGUAAACCUCUUUCAGUAGGGAAGAAGCGAAAGUGACGGUACUUGCAGAAGAAGCACCGGCUAACUACGUG